rnacentral:rRNA from 1 species
AACGAACGCUGGCGGCAUGCCUAACACAUGCAAGUCGAACGAUGCUUUCGGGCAUAGUGGCGCACGGGUGCGUAACGCGUGGGAAUCUGCCCUUGGGUUCGGAAUAACAGUGAGAAAUGGCUGCUAAUACCGGAUGAUGUCUUCGGACCAAAGAUUUAUCGCCCAGGGAUGAGCCCGCGUAGGAUUAGCUAGUUGGUGGGGUAAUGGCCUACCAAGGCGACGAUCCUUAGCUGGUCUGAGAGGAUGAUCAGCCACACUGGGACUGAGACACGGCCCAGACUCCUACGGGAGGCAGCAGUGGGGAAUAUUGGACAAUGGGCGCAAGCCUGAUCCAGCAAUGCCGCGUGAGUGAUGAAGGCCUUAGGGUUGUAAAGCUCUUUUACCCGGGAUGAUAAUGACAGUACCGGGAGAAUAAGCUCCGGCUAACUCCGUG